UGUAAGCGUAUACCAAAGUUGUUGCAGUUAAAACGCUCGUAGUCGGACUUUGGCGGUUCCGGAAGCGUGCCGCGCCGUGCGGCCGCUUUGCAGGGACUGCUUUUGUGGGUUUCGCGUCAGAUGAGGGCUGUUAAUUCGGUAACGUCUGUACGCAACCACUUUUUACUGUGAGAAAUUCAGAGUGCUCAAAGCAGGCAUUUGCCGUGAAUGUAUUAGCAUGGAAUAAUAGAAUAGGACUCUGUCUUAUUUUGUUGGUUUGUUAGGACCGAGUAAUGAUUAAGAGGGACAGUUGGGGGCAUUUGUAUUUCGGCGCUAGAGGUGAAAUUCUUAGAUUGCCGAAAGACGAACUGCUGCGAAAGCGUCUGCCAAGGAUGUUUUCAUUGA
rnacentral:rRNA from 1 species